rnacentral:rRNA from 1 species
GGGGAAUAUUGCACAAUGGGCGAAAGCCUGAUGCAGCAACGCCGCGUGAGUGAUGAAGGUCUUCGGAUUGUAAAGCUCUGUCUUUGGGGACGAUAAUGACGGUACCCAAGGAGGAAGCCACGGCUAACUACGUGCCAGCAGCCGCGGUAAUACGUAGGGGGCGAGCGUUGUCCGGAUUUACUGGGCGUAAAGGAUGCGUAGGCGGAUGUUUAAGUGAGAUGUGAAAUUCCCGGGCUUAACUUGGGAGCUGCAUUUCAAACUGGAUAUCUAGAGUGCAGGAGAGGAGAAUGGAAUUCCUGGUGUAGCGGUGAAAUGCGUAGAGAUUAGGAAGAACACCAGUGGCGAAGGCGAUUCUCUGGACUGUAACUGACGCUGAGGCAUGAAAGCGUGGGGAGCAAAC